GUCCGCUUAGUUCAACGGUAGAACACUGGUUUGUGGUACUAGUAAUCCCAGUUCAAUUCUGGGAGCAGGCC
rnacentral:tRNA from 2 species